rnacentral:other from 1 species
UGCUCUCUGCCCUGCAAGUGAGGUUGUAACGCCCACUCGGAAUGUUUUGAAUUCGGGGAAGCUUUCAGGGGCGCGGUGAGCCAGCCCGCCAUUGAAGCGGGACGCCUAAAGUGCCUACAAGCUACCCCACCUGGAUGGCCGUCGAUGUGUGGCCACCGACCCACGGCAGGAGUGGAGGGGCU